rnacentral:rRNA from 1 species
CCCUUAGAUGUUCUGGGCCGCACGCGCGCUACACUGACUACUUCAACGAGUUGUUUCCGUGAUCGAAAGGUCUGGGUAAUCUUUGAAAGGUAGUCGUGAUGGGGAUAGAUCCUUGCAAUUUUUGAUCUUCAACGAGGAAUUCCUAGUAAACGCAAGUCAUCAGCUUGCAUUGAUUACGUCCCUGCCCUUUGUACACACCGCCCGUCGCACCUACCGAUUGAAUGGUCCGGUGAAUCUUUAGGACUGUGGCUGAGGCCUUGCCUUGUGCGGGUCUGGCCGUGGGAAUUUAGUUAAACCUUACCAUUUAGAGGAAGGUGAAGUCGUAACA